GACGAACGCUGGCGGCGUGCUUAACACGUGCAAGUCGAACGGAAAGGCCCUGCUUUUGUGGGGUGCUCGAGUGGCGAACGGGUGAGUAACACGUGAGUAACCUGCCCUUGACUUUGGGAUAACUUCAGGAAACUGGGGCUAAUACCGGAUAGGAGCUCCUGCUGCAUGGUGGGGGUUGGAAAGUUUCGGCGGUUGGGGAUGGACUCGCGGCUUAUCAGCUUGUUGGUGGGGUAGUGGCUUACCAAGGCUUUGACGGGUAGCCGGCCUGAGAGGGUGACCGGCCACAUUGGGACUGAGAUACGGCCCAGACUCCUACGGGAGGCAGCAGUGGGGAAUAUUGCACAAUGGGCGGAAGCCUGAUGCAGCAACGCCGCGUGCGGGAUGACGGCCUUCGGAUUGUAAACCGCUUUCGCCUGUGACGAAGCGUGAGUGACGGUAAUGGGUAAAGAAGCACCGGCUAACUACGUG
rnacentral:rRNA from 1 species